CUAACCUGCACAAUGUGCACAUGUACCCUAAAACUUAAAAGUAUAGUAAUAAAAAAAAAGAAAAAAAAAAGAAAAAGAAAAAUAUUACUAAGUUAAAAAAAAACACUAUCAUAGAUUUUCUCUGUAGUUUAAAUGUUUAUUUUCUACCACACACGUGUAUCCAUUAACCAUAUGCACAUAUUAAUUAUUUUUUAACUUAUGCAAAUGGCAUUAUAUUGUAUUUAACACUUUGAAACUUCAUUUUUUCUUUCAACAUUGCAUUUUCAACAUCUAUCCAUGUUGAAAAAUAUACUACAAUAUAGCAAACCAUUCCAUUAAUGGUAGAUAUUUGAACUUUUCAAAAACAUUUACCUUCAGAAAAAAUGUUGCUAGAGUGUCCAUAUAUUUCCUUAUUAAUGCACAUACACAAGAAUUUCUGUAGGUAUUUUAGUUCAACUGCAAAGUUAUAAGAUAUGUACAUUUUCAAAUUUACUUGAAAAUAUCUAAUUUCUUCCAAAGUACUUAUGAAAAUUUUAAUCAGCAGUGUAUGACCGGUGUUUAGUUUCCCAGUUUUGCUAACAUUGGCAUUUGCAAUUGUGUCAAUAUGAUGGUGUCUUAGUGUCGUUUUAAUGACAUCUCCUCAAAUGCUUAUGACAUUGGAUGCAUUUUUAUGAAAUUAUGUAUUCAACAUUCCUUAAUACAUUUAUUUUCUGAACAAAAGUUUUUCCCUCAGAGGAAUGUCUUGAUCUGCUUGUCUUCCUCAUUUUUAGUACCUAUUCACUUGAUUGUUUAUAUAUAUUAUCAACAACAAUGGACUCAUACAGUAAAAAAUUCUAUCAGGAUGAGAGGAUUCUGAAAACAAUUAAAUGAAAAUACCAAAAGCACCUUAAAAUCUUCUGUAAAUAUUUAUUGAACACUUACUAAAUGGCAGUAGAAUAUUAUGAUAAAGUGUGCAGUCUUUGAAGCUGAACCACAUGGUUUUAAAUUCCACCCCCACCAUUUUGUAGCUGGGUGAACAAGGAAAAGUCCUUAACCUCUCUGUGCCACAAUUGCCACAUAUAUAAAAUGGACAUCAUAAUGGUACUUUUCAGUUGAAUGUUAUAUUAGAUAAUACACAUAAAACAUUUAGCAAAGCAUACAGUACAUCAUAAAUAUUCAUGUUUUAGUUUUUAUUAUAGUCAUGAAGAUGUCACUAUUUGUGGGAAGAGGGUAGUGGUGACUGUCAUGAGCUAUGUUCCUGAGAAAGUAGAAUCUAGAUAGAAAUUAGCAUGCAGAAGAUUUUUUAGGAUGUGCUCUUGGGAUUACCACAUUGAAUGAAAGGAGAGACAACAGGACUGGGCAGACAAAUGAGAUCGGCUAUGUUGCAUGUUUUGCAGUGAUUCAAUACCUAUAUUUGCAGCCUAUCAGAAAUAUAAAAAAUAUUGCCAUUGAAUCAUAAAAAUUAUGAGAAGAAGAAAGAGGAGACAGAAACAGAAGGGAAGAACAAAAGGAAGAAGAAUAAAAGAAUAGUCCCUGGCACUAUUCUAAACAUUUUACAUAUUAACUUAUGUAAUCCUCACAAUAUUUAUAAGGAUAAUCCUGGUUUAACAGAUGACAGAAGUGAGGUAAUUUAAAUAACUAGUCCAUGGUCCUACAACUAGGAUGUCAUAUAGCUAGAUUUUGAACCCAGGCAAUAUAGCUUCAGAAAUCAUGUUCUCAACCACUAUCCAGUACAGCCAGAAUGAAUGUCAAUACCACUAACAAACCUUAUCCGUUUGUUAUUGUGAUUUCUAUUAUUGUUCUCUACCAGACGUUUUUCUAGGGUUUUACUUACAUUAUCUCACUUAACUGAAUUCUUAUAACUCAUGAAGGGUUAUCCUCAUUUGUAGACGAGGAGAGUAGAUGAUGUUUAGUUACUUUCCCGCAGACAAGUUAUUAGUUGAGCAAGGAUUUUACCCUGUGCUUGUUUGGCUUUAAAUCCCUUGUUCCUUCCCACUAUAAUACAGUUUCUCUUUAAUAGGUGACUUUAUUUUCCAGCAAAUUGAUGACUAUAUCAUACGUCUUAUGUCAUGUUUCCCUCA
rnacentral:lncRNA from 1 species